GAAUUACAACAGUGAACAAAUUUUGCGAAACAAUGGUCAGUGAGGAAACCGCGCUAUGCAAAUUCACAUCGACCUCAUCCUGAAGGUUUCGUCAGAGAGGCUAAAUUUGCACGUGUUUUAAAAAUGUCUCUCAGAUCAUUUACAUUUUUCGGUCGCUCGCAGUCUGAACCGAUUCACUCCUCAAGGCAAAAUGGUUAGAAAAACUCGUCUACAAGUCAAUUUUAACGUUUAAACUAGGCCAGAAGCAAUUUGGAAACGUUUGUGUUUUAUGAACUGACAUUAAGUGAAAACCUACCAUCAAUUUCAUCUCAACAAAGCCCAAGGUGAAGGAAGUACCACAAAUAAAGGGUGGGAGGAAAACCAAUUGAAUCGAAGGGAAGAAUCGAGCAGAGGUGGUUCGGGGUCUUCAUGUUUUGAAUGUCCCUUAUGGCUAAUGAUUUAAAAGAAGUAAUGUUCUCAGCUUGGACUGUUUGAGUUGACAGUUUAUUCCAUACCCGAACAGUUCGUAUAAACGGAGAAUAACUGUGCGCCAAAACAUUUGAGUGGGGCUGGAGCAUGGUAUGUUGAAUCUAGUGAUCCUAGUAGAGGCUGAUCAUAAUGAUGAAGAGCGAGAGUGAAGUUGAUGUUGAACACAACUCAACUGGACUUAAGUUGUUCAAGAGCCGACGAAAGUUGGAAAUUUAUUAUAGAGGUAACAAGUGUAAAUUAGAAAAGCUCAGUGCCACUUUUGUUUUCACGAAUUUAGUGUGAAAAAAAUACAGAUUUUUUUUCAUGUCAACACCAAAAGAAGAUGCUAACCUAGGUUUUGUUUUAGACGUCAAAUGUUACUGUCUAUUGGUGACUUGAAAGUACCCCACCAAUGUCAAGAAAGAGGCUGAAUCAAUUAAAAUUCAUUUGGUCCCCAAAAAUGUCAGGAGUCUUUCAAACAUCUUAUUUAGCGAAAUUUUGUCAAGAAAUACGUUUGUAGAAACAAGAUUGACCUAUAAUUCAAUUUAGAAAUCAUUUCAGACACUUAAAACUUAAUAUUAAAAAAGUGGGGAUCUUUCCCAGAAGUAGUAAUCUUAAUUCGUUAGCCUUAACGUUUUUUCUUUAGUCAAAAAGUCUCUACUUUAGACAGAAUUCAACUUCAAUUCAACUUUUCAAUAUUUCUUAUUAGUCGAUAAAGCAUAAUCAGGCUUGCUCAAAUCUCACCGUGAAGCUCGAGAUUUCCUUUGUCUUUGAGUUAACGUUUCCAUUUUAAGUUUUUUGAUAUAAAAGCUGAUGUUGUUGAGUUAAUUUUUGCCAAUUUUUUUGUUCCGCCAAAUUAAUUAGAUUUCGCUGUUUAUAUUGUUGUAAACACUCAGAAUUGUUAUAGCCAAUAAAACUUGCAAACAAAUAAAAAACUUUUUUCCCA